rnacentral:lncRNA from 1 species
UAUUUCAUUCGACACCUGUGUUUACCAACAUCGGUAUUUCCAUGCCUGACACCUGUGUUUACAAUAUAUGUAAUUUAGUUGUGUUGAGGACAAGAAUCCACAGGUUGGACAAUAUGAUAUACUAUCACAUGUCACCUUUUUAUACCUCUCCCACUCCCCUCCAAAUUCUCUUCUCCAUUUUUCUUUAUCAGGAUAAUACAAAAUCUGGAGGUGAGGAAAGACAUCAUGUCCAACUCAUGUUCCUGUCUUCACAGAUUCACUUAUUGACCAAAAUUAUUAUUGAUUCAUAUUUAUGCACUUUAAGAACUCCUGCA